rnacentral:rRNA from 1 species
AACGAACGCUGGCGGCAUGCCUAACACAUGCAAGUCGAACGAGACCUUCGGGUCUAGUGGCGCACGGGUGCGUAACGCGUGGGAAUCUGCCCUUGGGUUCGGAAUAACAGUUGGAAACGACUGCUAAUACCGGAUGAUGACGUAAGUCCAAAGAUUUAUCGCCCAGGGAUGAGCCCGCGUAGGAUUAGCUAGUUGGUGGGGUAAAGGCCUACCAAGGCGACGAUCCUUAGCUGGUCUGAGAGGAUGAUCAGCCACACUGGGACUGAGACACGGCCCAGACUCCUACGGGAGGCAGCAGUGGGGAAUAUUGGACAAUGCGCGAAAGCCUGAUCCAGCAAUGCCGCGUGAGUGAUGAAGGCCUUAGGGUUGUAAAGCUCUUUUACCCGGGAUGAUAAGGACAGUACCGGGAGAAUAAGCCCCGGCUAACUCCGG